GACGAAGGGUGCUAGCGUUGUUCGGAAUGACUGGGCGUAAAGGGCGCGUAGGCGGUCUUUUAAGUUAGGCGUGAAAGCCCCGGGCUUAACCCGGGACGUGCGCUUAAGACUGAAAGGCUUGAGUAUGGAAGAGGUAAGUGGAAUUCCUAGUGUAGAGGUGAAAUUCGUAGAUAUUAGGAAGAACACCAGUGGCGAAGGCGGCUUACUGGUCCAUUACUGACGCUGAGGCGCGAAAGUGUGGGGAGCAAACAGG
rnacentral:rRNA from 2 species